UACGUAGGUGGCGAGCGUUGUUCGGAAUCACUGGGCAUAAAGCGCACGUAGGCGGCCAAGUCAGUCAGGUGUGAAAUACCUCGGCUCAACCGAGGAACUGCGCCUGAUACUGCUUGGCUUGAGGUCCGGAGGGGAGAGUGGAAUUCCCGGUGGAGCGGUGAAAUGCGUAGAGAUCGGGAAGAACGCCGGCGGCGAAAGCGACUCUCUGGUCGGAAUCUGACGCUGAGGUGCGAAAGCUAGGGGAGCAAACGGG
rnacentral:rRNA from 1 species